rnacentral:rRNA from 1 species
GACGAACGCUGGCGGCGUGCUUAACACAUGCAAGUCGAACGGUUGUAGCAUACAGCAGUGGCAGACGGGUGAGUAACACGUGGGAACCUUCCUAGGGGUACGGAAGAACUCCGGGAAACUUGAGCUAAUACCGUAUACGUCCGUGAGGAGAAAGAGUUAUCGCCCUUAGACGGGCCCGCGUCGGAUUAGCUAGUUGGUGGGGUAACGGCCUACCAAGGCGACGAUCCGUAGCUGAUCUUAGAGGAUGAUCAGCCAAACUUGGACUGAGACACGGCCCAGACUCCUUCGGGAGGCAGCAGUGGGGAAUCUUGGACAAUGGGCGCAAGCCUGAUCCAGCCAUGCCGCGUGAGUGAAGAAGGUCUUCGGAUUGUAAGGCUCUUUUGCCAGGGACGAUAAUGACGGUACCUGGAGAAUAAGCCCCGGCAAACUUCGUGCCAGCCGCCGCGGUAA